rnacentral:rRNA from 1 species
CAGCCGCCGCGGGAAUACGGAGGGUGCGAGCGUUGUCCGGAUUUAUUGGGUUUAAAGGGUGCGUAGGUGGCUUUAUAAGUCAGUGGUGAAAUACGGUUGCUCAACAAUCGAGGUGCCAUUGAUACUGUAGAGCUUGAAAUAAUUGGAGGCUGCCGGAAUGGAUGGUGUAGCGGUGAAAUGCAUAGAUAUCAUCCAGAACACCGAUUGCGAAGGCAGGUGGCUACGAUUUGUUUGACACUGAGGCACGAAAGCAUGGGGAGCAAACAGGAUUAGAUACCCCCGUAGUCCCUGUCUCUUAUAC